AUUGAACGCUGGCGGCAUGCUUUACACAUGCAAGUCGAACGGCAGCGCGGGCUACGGCCUGGCGGCGAGUGGCGAACGGGUGAGUAAUACAUCGGAACGUGCCCAGUAGUGGGGGAUAGCGCGGCGAAAUCCGGAUGAUUACCGCAAACGACCUGCGGGUGAAAGCGGGGGAGCUUCGGACCUCGCGCUAUUGCAGCGGCCGAUGGCGGAUUAGCUAGUUGGUGGGGUAAAGGCCUACCAAGGCGACGAUCUGUAGCUGGUCUGAGAGGACGACCAGCCACACUGGGACUGAGACACGGCCCAGACUCCUACGGGAGGCAGCAGUGGGGAAUUUUGGACAAUGGGCGAAAGCCUGAUCCAGCAAUGCCGCGUGUGUGAUGAAGGCCUUCGGGUUGUAAAGUACUUUUGGCGGGAACGAAAAGAACUGUGCCAAUACCACGGUUCGAUGACGUUACCCGCAGAAUAAGCACCGGCUAACUACGUG
rnacentral:rRNA from 1 species